ACACAUAAAAACGUAUUCCUCCAGCUCCUUCCCUUCAUUUCACUCUUUUCACACUCAACUCAAAACAAAAAUCAAAACCUAAAACCUUAAACUUGGUCCCUUCCUAAUGUCUCGAGCUAAAACAAUGCGUGAGCGUGUUCCAGACGACAUCGUAGAAGACAUCCUGGGUCGACUACCAGUGAAAUCCUUAAUCCGAUUCAGGUGCGUUUCUAAGUCUUGUAAUUCAAUCAUCACUGGCACCACUUUCAUCAACAACCACUUAAAGCUCAACCAUAGCCAAUGCGAAUCAUUAAUAUCCACAAACUCCCGCAGUGGGUAUUUGCUAUAUACUACAAAGGAUAAGAAUAGUUCACCAUCUUCCAAACAAUUGUGUACGGUUGUUUGCAACAACGACCGCACUUUGACCCAGGUUUCUAGGUUUGAAAUCCCCUCUUUUUUUGACAAGUACAUGAUUGUUGCUUUCUGUAAUGGCCUGUUCUGCCUAGCUAGUCGUGAGAAAGAACUUUGUCACAUUAUUUAUUUGUGGAACCCAAGUAUUAGAAUGUUCAAGAAACUUGUAGCUACUCGCUUUAAUGGCAAGCAUAAUGAAAGUGCCACUAUUGGAUUUGCUUAUGAUUCUCUGAACAACGACUUCAAGAUUCUGAGAAUUGUGUGUAAUGCGAUGUUCAAUGAAUCAGAAGCUGAAGCAGAGAUUUACACGUUUAGUUCGGAUUCGUGGAGGAAGGUUGAAAUAUCAAUGGAGUCCUUAAGAGGGUGUGCAGUGACUGAACCCAAACUUGGGACUAUUUAUUGUGUUUUGGGUCCCUUUACAUUUUAUAAUGGAGCUCUGCAUGCUUCAGCAUUUACUGUCGGCUAUUCAUUCAUUUUGUCCUUUGACAUUAGCGAUGAGAGCUUCCAUGAGAUAAUGAUGCCUCGUAAUCACUUUGAUCCAUUGACUACAAAUUUCACUAAACUUGCAGUCUACAAGGGAUUGCCGGCUAAGUUUGGUUUCGCUCAUGAUUUUGGCAAUGUGGGUAAUGGGCGUGUCUUAUGCCACGUAUGGGUUAUGGAGGAGUAUGGUGUGCCCGAGUCUUGGACUAGAAAAUUUGUGAUACCAAUGAAAUGGGUUCGGUGGGAACAUUUCUUUGGCUGCACUAACAAUGGUGAACUUCUCAUUAAGAAUGCCACUGGGCUGGUUUCAAUUGACCCUGAGAGUCAAAAUCAGAACAUUCUUGCAAUUGAAGAUGCUAAUUGGGUGGCUUUCUCAGCUAAUUCAAUGGAGAGCUUGGUUUUACUUGAUGGGGAUAGAGAGACUGAGAGAGAGGAGGAGGAGGAGAAGAACUCCAAUGUUUGCUCCAUGGAUGACCUAGGCGGUGGCGGUGCUUUGGGCAGUGGUGGUGGCCUAGGCAGUAGCAGCAGUGGGCUGGGCAGCAGUGGCGAUGGCCACAGCAGGGCGACUUCAUAAAAAUUAAUUGGAAACUUCCUUGGUCUCGUUAGCUUCCUUUACGCUGGUGGUUUUCUUGUGGCAGCUUCUUUUUAGAGCUUUGCCUCUAGGAACUGUUCUUGCUAGCAGAAAUAUAACCACUGAUAUGACUAAGGAUUAUCUUAAUUUAGGGAUGAACACAAUUUACUUUCGUACAAUUAAGACAUAUAUUGUUUGUUGCUUUGUUUUUCAUAUGUAAUAGGUGUAAAAAUAGUAUUUCUAUCUAAAUUUUGGGCAUAAGUUUUUCUUCAUUGGAAUUAGAUGUUACUGCUACAAAGUUCAUAAAAAAACAACUUUCCAUUCAAGAAGAUCUUUUGAGGGAGCACUCUACUACGGUACUACCAGUUGAUGAUGAAGGACUAGGUUGCCAACCAUCAAUACAACCGGUUUUGAGAAUGAUUCUUCAAGUACAAAAGAUGAAAAUAAUGUUGGGAGUCAUGGUGCUUCUGGUAGCUCUGUAGGUAUCAAGGUAGUUAUUGUAUGCCUUGGUAGCUGUUUUUUCUUUUGCUAGCUUUUAUUCAAGAUAUGGCAGAAAAAGAAGAGAGAAAAGCAGCAUGCUCGUCUUCUAAAGCUGUUUGAGGAUGAUGAUGAGCUUGAGGUCGAAGUUGGUAUUCACGGCUGAGAUCCUUUCUCAUUCAUAUCUUGACUAUAAUCAAGAGGGGUGCCUCAUGGCUUUUGUUUUGCCUUUCAUUUGUAGCGAUCACUGCUUUGUUGAUAUAGGUUGUUUGAAACUUUAUAUUUACAGCUUUUUUCUGCAUGAUAUCUUUAUUGAAUACCGUUUUGUAGAUCUUAUACUGAUUAUGGUUAUAGGUGAUCUAUUCCAAGGGAUUAUCGGUUUUUCCAAGAAAGGAGUUUUGUUGUGAACUUAGUUUUUCAAGGCUUUGGCAAUACAG